rnacentral:rRNA from 1 species
UGCGUAGGUGGUGAGGUAAGUCGGAUGUGAAAGCUCGGAGCUCAACUCCGAAAUGGCAUUGGAAACUACCUUGCUAGAGGAUCGGAGGGGGGACUGGAAUACUUGGUGUAGCAGUGAAUGCGUAGAUAUCAAGUGGAACACCAGUGGCGAAGGCGAGUCCCUGGACGAUACCUGACACUGAGGCACGAAAGCUAGGGGAGCAAACA